AUAUGGAGGGGGCUAGCGUUGUUCGGAAUUACUGGGCGUAAAGCGCGCGUAGGCGGUUUGCCAAGUCAGGCGUGAAAGCCCCGGGCUCAACCCGGGAAUUGCGCUUGAUACUGGCAGGCUCGAGGCCGGGAGAGGGUAGUGGAAUUCCCAGUGUAGAGGUGAAAUUCGUAGAUAUUGGGAAGAACACCGGUGGCGAAGGCGGCUACCUGGACCGGUACUGACGCUGAGGUGCGAAAGCGUGGGGAGCAAACAGGAUUAGAAACCCCAGUAGUCC
rnacentral:rRNA from 1 species